ensembl:lncRNA
GCAGGUUUCUCAGGACAGACACCUGGAGAACACAAUAAAUGCUGCCCACGAUGUCAGAGAAACACCACUGCGGGGAGGAGUGGGUCAGGUAAGGAGUUCUUUGGCACGGGGGAGUUGAUCUGAGUGUUUUCUGAUGCAGGAACUGCAGGUUGCUGGGAUUUGGCCCUUUCCCCUGGAAAAUGAGAAGUUAAGUCCAAGAUGCCUCCCCCUAGCUGGGGUCAAGGGCCUCAGGGCAUUGUGGACACAGACCAGGACAAAGUACAUCUCCCUCCUUUUUGGGCCUCUCUCCUAGGUCAGAGGUCACAGGGUCACUGAGGCCAAGCUUUGAGGUUUGUCUAUGCCUUUCAUCCCACCGUUCUUCCCCAGCCCUCCACCCACCCUGGAAUGUUCCCCAACUGACUGGGUAUACACGAUUCCACUACACUGGGGCCCCGGGUGUGGGAGCUCCUGAAAUUUGGGCAGUAGUUACCAAUCGACCCCUCCUUCUGUAAGAUAACCUCAGUUUGGCCCCCAAAGUUACAUUUUAGGAGAAACAGAUCUGUUUGAGGCUGGCGGGAAAAGUUCGCCACAAAGGCUCCCUCCUACCUCCCCGCCGUCCCCUGCUCCCGUAAUCGUUGAAUGAACCUGGUUUUAAUCUAGAGUCUCAGAGUUCUGGAUGACAAACUGCUCCCUCUGACAAGGAUGGGUGCGCAGAUCCUCCACUUCUUAAGAAUUCUGUGAGCCAGAGACAGUAGAGACUGUCCCUAGACUAGAAACAAUCGUGUUGACACCUGCGAGAGGAGGUGGAAAACCUCAGCCCCAGAGUGGGAGUCGCCAGGCUCUUUAGAUGAGAGUUAGGAGGAAUGAGAGGGUGUGAGCCUGUUAGCACAUGGGAGCAGCCACGCUGCAGCCACCGCAGCCCCCACAUCAUGGCUGGGACGUGUGUGUCACCAGGGCCUGGAGAAGGCCCUGACCACCUGGAACAAGCACACCCAUAGUAUCCCCACAUGCUAAACCAGAGUUGAGCAGCACCUUGUGAUGGUGAGGGCUGGGCUGCACAGUGGUUAGGGUCUCUGACUCUGGAGUCUCACAUACCUGGUUCCUCUCCCCUCCACUCCUUUCUGGCUAUGUGUCCACGCACAAGGGACCAGCCUCGCAAAGCCUUGUUUCCUCAUCAUUAAUGGGGACGCUAAUAGGACCCACUUGGUAGAUUUGUAAUGAGGAUUAAAUACGUGUAAAAUAUUUCCAUAAUUCUUGGUAUAUUCAGACAGCUCCACUACUGUUAGCUUCCAUUACUGUUAUUUUGGACAUUAUUAAUUGUAGUGUCUCUUAACUAUUGGUGGAACAAUAGAUCCUAAAUGAUGUUUGAACGUGCAGCCCUGUGUGUGGCGGCAAGCGCUGACCUCACCUGGAUGCCAGUCCCAGAGAGCCCAGCCCUUUUCCUGGCCUCAUCCACAAAAUCCUGACAGAGCCCCACGAGGGGCAACUGUUCAUAUUGCCAAGUUUUUUCACCCAAAGACUCUGAGGUGCAGGAAAGAAGAGGAAUGCUCCCCUGUGUCACCUGGUUAGUAGGAAGCUGGCCUGGGGCUUGGAGCCCAGGCCUCUGGCUUUCUCUCCUUCCCCUAAACCAUAUGGUAUGGAGGGUUUUGCAGGAAUGCCCUAAAACCUAUUGGUUAGUCUGUCCCAGCAAUGAGGAACCUAGAAAAAAUGAUGACUCCUCAGGUUGGGUGUCCCCUGAUCCCCCCAUAUCACACAAGUCACAAGACAUGUGUAGUCCACACCCCACGGGGUGGGUGCAGGGCAGUCCUCCAGUCGCUUAUUGGGAGGAAGAAAUCACCCAGCAAAUAGCCAAGCCCCCAGACAGCCAGCGCCACCCCUUGGGAGAAAAGGCUUAAGGGAGUUUAAUUAAGCGAAUUCCAGACUCCAGGUCUGCCUUGAGAUAUCCAGCCUUGUACCUGCUGUCAGGCUGAUAACGGAAGCUCAGUGGAAACCUCUCCAAGCUCAGGUCCUAGAAUUACUGCACAUGAAUGGAGGCAAUGAUUAAGCGAAUCUGGUUUUUAUAGUUAAGGAAAACUCUUAACUAGUAUGAGCCUUUAGGAGGCAAAUUGGCCUGGGCCCAGGCCUCAGGCACGUGUGGCUAAACCAUCAGCAUGUGAUAAAUUAUCCUAUUUUUAUAGAUCUUCAAAGAAACUGCUACCAUAAACUUAUUUAUUUUAGGAACUCAGAGUGCUUCUAAGUGGCUCUGUCUCCUUUAGGGUCACCCUCCCUGUCAGGAAUCUGUUCCGGGACAAGCCUCCUUCCUGCCCUUCUUGGUGAAAAUCGGGGGGGAGGGGGGUCGGUUGCCCCACCCUGGCUCCCUCCUGAGCCCCUCUCUCUUCAGAUCACCCAACCGUUGCCCCCACCUUUCCCUCCCAAUUCUUAAGUUAUAAACACCAAAUUUUCCACAAUUCUCUGCUGAAACUUCUCCAAGACUCUUUUAAACGUUGGGACCAAGACUGCACACAGCAUUCUCAUCCAGGUCUGGCCAUAGGUGAGGAAAUCAGAAGAUUAUAUUAAACUAUGUAAAAAUUUGUCUUGUUUAUAUCCAACCACAAAAUCAGUUCAGCCUUUAUUUACUGUGGUGUGGGGAGAGAGGAGAAGCAGGGGUGGGGAUCCCAGCUCCACUGGUAACCAUAUGAGUAAGUAUAUAGGUAGGAUCCACUGUGACCUCAGGAUCCCUUUCUGUUGGACACUCACAUAACCAGCCCACAGAGCCCCGCAUCCUCCCUUUGUGUGAUCUGGGCUCCCUUUAACUGCACAAGUUGGAGGCCUUACCUAGCCCCAUCUGAUGGUAUGCUUGUGAAAAACAGCCUCCCUGCAUGGUAAUCCCCACCCUGACCCCAAGGAGCCCUGAUGUGGGCUCUGCAACCCUCACCACCGCAGCUCUGCCCGCUCAGGAGAUGCAUUCCUCAGCUGCUUCUGCCCGGCCAGAAUGGGCAAAAGAGCCUGAGCGUGGACUCAACCAUUCCAGGUUCCCCUGGACCCGACAGGGAGUGGAAAGCAUUCCUGACCCCCUGGGGAAGAAAGUGUGCUCACCAUACAGCUGGCCUACACCCCAUCUUCUCUUGACCCACUCUCCCAAGCUUGCCAGGCCAGAGGCACCUGCCUAGAUGUUACUGAACACAUUGAGGGCCCCUGCUUUCCUGGGGCGCUUUCCAGACCAGGAAACUGGUCCAAGCUUGCAGAGUUGGUUGCCAGCCUUGGGGGAAUUCUGAACACCGCAGGCAGCCCCAGCGAGGUCGCAGAGUCCCCGCGGCUGCUCUUGGGCAAGAUGAAAGCCCGGAGGAGGAGAUCUUCCCUUCUACCUCCCACCCCAGGAUGAGUUGGGCUCUGAUCUCCAUCUCAGAGGGACAACAGCCUGGCCCCGACAAGGCGCCAGACCCGGGCACCUCCAAGCCCACCCCCUUAACGACGUAACUGCCCGCAAGAGACGGAAAAAGUGCCGGGGGAGAUGUUCUUAUUCAAUCAAAGCACAGGACGAUUUCCUCGGCUAGCGCCAAGACUAUCCGAGUGGAGUUGGCCCAAUAAGCAGAUUCCAACUCCCUGAGAGAGGAUCUUCAGGGUCACUUGGAUUCUAGCCGGCGUGGAACCACUCUGAAAACAGAGACAGCAAAGCAGUGGCCAGACUGGACCCACGCGCCAGGAUUUAUUCUUUCUCUCAGCAAGCAGCUGCCUUGGGGCGGAAGAAUCAGCCGGGGUUGGGGCAGCUGGUCAUAGUGGGUCCAUCUGGGAGCCCCUGUGGGUGGGGCAGACUCUCUACUGACCGCAGAUUGUCCAGCGUGG